UGAAAGAGCAAACAGGAAGGAGAUCCUCGAAGAAGGGACAUAAGAAAGCAUCACUUUCAAGACCGGUAAUUUGCAUUUGCAAUGACCUAUAUGCCCCUGCCUUGAGACCAUUGCGUCAGGUAGCAAAGGUUCACAUUUUUGUUCAACCAACAGUUAGUCGCGUGGUAAGCAGG